rnacentral:rRNA from 1 species
UAGCAUAAUCAUUAGUUUUUUAAAUGAAGACUAGUAUGAAAGGUUUAAUAAAAAAUAAGCUUUAUAAAUUUAACGUUAUUGAAUUUGUUUUUUUAGUAAAAAAACUAAAAUAUUUAAAAAAGACGAUAAGACCCUAUAAAGCUUUAUAAUAAUUUAAAAAUUUUUAAAUAGUAUAAUUAUUCAAUUAUUUUUUUUAUUAGUUAUUUAAUUGGGGKGAUUUAAAGAUUUAUAAAACUCUUUAUUAUUUUUUGUCAUUUAUGAAUGUUUUUUUUUGAUCCUUUAAUUUAAGAAUAAAAAAUUAAGUUACUUUAGGGAUAACAGCGUAAUUUUUUUAAAGAGUUCAAAUCGAUAAAAAAGAUUGCGACCUCGAUGUUGAAUUAAGAUAAAAAUUAGGUGUAGAAGUUUAAUUUUU